AUUGCAAGUGAUGAGAACAAUUAAGAGUGCCAAGCACACUAGAUUAGCCAAAAAUCCAUGUCUAUAUAGAACCAAUAGUGAGGGAGGAGAGGUUAUCUCCAUUGUUGAGCAUUUUUUUUUAUAUGUAAAUUAGUCCAAUUAUUUACAUCAUUUAAUUCCCAGAAUAAGGCUACUUUAAGUAUUUUCUCUUGUUUUCAGAAUUCAGACCAAAAGCUGACCAAGUGGAGUACAAGUGUCAAAUUCGGCCCAAGGAAUCAAACUUUAUUGAGCCUAGCCAGAGCCUAGAAGAUUCCCUUUUGGCAAAAUCUGCAAAAUAAAUUACAAGGAUUUCUAUGAGGUGGACGAUUUCUACAAGGAAGAUUUAGGACUUAUAUGCAGAAGAGCCAACAAACUGUCCAAGUAUGAUAGAGCUCAUAACCUUGUUAUAGAUGGAAGAUUCACUUUCUUUAAGCUUCUCGGUUUCCCAGGACUAUUCAACUACAAUGUGUGAGGAAGGGAAGCAUUGCAGGUAGAAUCUAUUCAGGAGGGGAAGCGGUCUCGGAGAAGGAG